UACGUAGGUGGCAAGCGUUGUCCGGAUUUACUGGGUGUAAGGGGCGUGUAGCCGGGCUGACAAGUCAGAUGUGAAAUCCGGGGGCUCAACCCCCGAACUGCAUUUGAAACUGUUGGUCUUGAGUAUCGGAGAGGCAGGCGGAAUUCCUAGUGUAGCGGUGAAAUGCGUAGAUAUUAGGAGGAACACCGGCGGCGAAGGCGGCCUGCUGGACUGCAACUGACGUUGAGGCCCGAAAGCGUGGGGAGCAAGCAGG
rnacentral:rRNA from 1 species